GACGAACGCUGGCGGCGUGCUUAACACAUGCAAGUCGAACGAAGUGGCGAACGGGUGAGUAACGCGUAAUCAACCUGCCCUUCAGCGGGGGACAACAGUUGGAAACGACUGCUAAUACCGCAUACUGAAGGAGGGGAUUUCGUCUGAUUAGCUAGGUGGAGGGGUAACGGCCCACCAAGGCGAUGAUCAGUAGCCGGUCUGAGAGGAUGGACGGCCACAUUGGGACUGAGACCAGGCCCAAAAGUCUACGGUAGGCAGCAGUGGGGAAUCUUCCGAAAUGGACGAAAGUCUUACGGAGCAACGCCGCGUGAUUGAUGACGGCCUUCGGGUUGGAAAGCUCUGUUAAUCGGGACGCGGUACCGGAAUAGAAAGCCACGGCUAACUACGUGCCAGCAGCCGCGGUAAUUC
rnacentral:rRNA from 1 species